rnacentral:lncRNA from 1 species
CUUUAACCCAGUGCGUGGUUCCUCUCCACAUCACACGUGUGCGCCUGUUUUGGGGGACGGGGGGAUGCAGGGCAUCCAGGCACCUCAGCCUGCCUGGGCUGUGAGCUCAUAUGCUGUUGUCCCAAACGAUCCUCCUGCCCAGAAACCUCCCCAGCACUCCACCCAGAAGGGGGAGCAAAUGGAAAAUUGGAGCAAGCCCUCAUAUUGGGUCAGGGAAGAAAAUAUUCUUUUUCCCCCCUUUCACUCUAAAAAUAUGCUCAAGGCUUUUUUUUGGAGCUUUGUUGAAAUAAAAAACCAGCUGUGGCUCAGAACGCCCCCACAGCCUUCGCCCAGGGAGAAAGGAAAACAAAAACAGCUGCUGGCGGCUGAUCAUGCCGCAGGCGCUGGCUCAGGGUGCAGGCACCUCUGGCCUAGAAUUGCUCCCAGUGGGCACCCAACAGCCCUAUUUGCUCGUUCUGGUGUGAGCGCUGGACACAGAGUUCAUCAGCCCCUCUUCCCCGUAAUUCUCUGGGCGAGGACGUUGGGUGAUGAGGGAGACGAACUCUCCUCGCGCUACCGCCUCAUCUCACCGCGGAGGCAGAACAGGAUCGAGAGGAAAUGGACUUCCCCAAGACCUGUAGCUGGUGUGAGCAGAGCAAGGACGGGGACUCUGUCUGCCCACCCCACUGCUCUGCCUCAGGGCCUUCCUUCCCACACCCGUGCCCCUCCAUCCGGCCUUGAGCUCUUCUCCAGUGUCGUGCUCACCAUGGGGGUCUCCUGGCCCGGUGGCAGCAUACAGUGGAUGCCCAGGAAAUGUCUGUCCAUGGACUGGAUGGACGGCCUGGGAAGGACAUGGACUUAAUACCGUGGGUGUCAGAUUUGUGUGCGCAUUGGAAUCACCUGGAGGGUGUCAAAAACUUCCUGUCCCUGUGCCCUGCCACAAGGGGUUGUGGUUUAGCUGCCUUGGGUGUGGCUUGGGCAUGGGAAUUUUUAAAAGAUUCCCAGAAAAUUCUACGAUGUGCAUGUGUUUGGGAAUCACGAGUUUUUCGAGAAAUUUUAAUGUAGGACCUUAAAAACAACCUCAAACAAACAGCUUUAUUGAGAUUUAAUUGACAGAUGGGAAAUUGCACAUACUAAAAAUAUAUAAUUUGAAAAGUUUUAAAAACCCAUCUGAGCCAUUUGAAGUACACAGUUCCGUAGAAUUACACUGUUGUGCAACCGGUCUCCAGAACGUUCUCAUCUUGCAAAACAGAGACUAAAUCUGUUAGCAGCUCUCAACCCCUCUCCUCUCAGCCCCUGACACUCAUCAUCCUACUUCCUGUCCUUGACUUUGAUCAUUCCAGGUACUUCAUGUAAGAGGAAUCGCACCA